rnacentral:rRNA from 1 species
GAUGAACGCUGGCGGCGUGCCUAAUACAUGCAAGUCGAGCGAACGGACGAGAAGCUUGCUUCUCUGAUGUUAGCGGCGGACGGGUGAGUAACACGUGGAUAACCUACCUAUAAGACUGGGAUAACUUCGGGAAACCGGAGCUAAUACCGGAUAAUCUUUUGAACCGCAUGGUUCAAAAGUGAAAGACGGUCUUGCUGUCACUUAUAGAUGGAUCCGCGCUGCAUUAGCUAGUUGGUAAGGUAACGGCUUACCAAGGCAACGAUGCAUAGCCGACCUGAGAGGGUGAUCGGCCACACUGGAACUGAGACACGGUCCAGACUCCUAGGGGAGGCAGCAGUAGGGAAUCUUCCGCAAUGGGCGAAAGCCUGACGGAGCAACGCCGCGUGAGUGAUGAAGGUCUUCGGAUCGUAAAACUCUGUUAUUAGGGAAGAACAUAUGUGUAAGUAACUGUGCACAUCUUGACGGUACCUAAUCAGAAAGCCACGGCUAACUACGUG